UACGAAGGGGGCUAGCGUUGCUCGGAAUCACUGGCGUAAAGCGCACGUAGGCGGAUUGUUAAGUCAGGGGUGAAAUCCUGGAGCUCAACUCCAGAACUGCCUUUGAUACUGGCGAUCUUGAGUCCGGGAGAGGUGAGUGGAACUGCGAGUGUAGAGGUGAAAUUCGUAGAUAUUCGCAAGAACACCAGUGGCGAAGGCGGCUCACUGGCCCGGUACUGGACGCUGAGGU
rnacentral:rRNA from 1 species